AAAGUCUAACAUAGUCUAGCAAUGUGAUUUGUUUUGAUAAACAAAAGCAGUUUAUCAAAGUGGGAUUGGGAGGCCUGUCAACAGGUAUUUUUAGGAUUGGCUAAACAGGAAGAGCAGUAACAUCCUGAAAGAACUGUAUCUUUUGGUAGAUCCAAUCAGGCUAGCCAUCCACCAGUGUCACCUCUUAGAUCAGGCUCCAGGGUCAAAUCACAGUGCACGAUUCACUUCAUCUAAAGUGGGGAGGGUCAAAACCACUCAAAAGGCAAGUGUGUGAACAGAUUAAAAAUAGGCAGUUUUGUAAAGCUGGGCUGUGGUUCUUCCCAAAGGCAUGCAUCAGAAUCACCGGGAGGACUUGUGCGACCACAGAGCACUGGAUCCAACCCGAGACAUUUUGAUGCAGUUGGUCUCCAGUGGACUCAAGAAUUUUCAUUUCUAGCAAGCUCCCAGAAAUCACCCACCAUGGAUUGCACAAGCAGCGUGAAGACUACCACGGGUAUUCCUUCUGUUUCUACUGUGCAGCCGUGAGACGC
rnacentral:lncRNA from 1 species